UUUAUAUCUGUAUUUUCCCACUAUUUGCAAUAUCUGUAUUGUCUGUGAUCUAUUUUUCGCCAUUAUGGCAAUGUUGAAAAUGUUAUACGCAAUAUAAGGCACAAAACACUCCACUGUAUGUAUACUACAGAUUUGGUGAGGGUUUAUUUUGUUUCAUGAGCACCAGACAGAAAUGACCUUUUAUGCAUUUACUUUACACUUAAUUUUUGUUGAAUUCUAUAAUAUAAUUGAUGAUUUUGUAAUUUGCUUAAAUCAGUAUUAAAUCAUCUUCUGUCUUAGGUUUUUGGUACCGGUAACCAUCUUUUAAGUUAAUUGUCUGUAGUCAUGAACAAGAAUAAACUUGCAUUUCUUUAGA